UACGUAGGGAGCAAGCGUUGUCCGGAUUUAUUGGGCGUAAAGAGCGUGUAGGCGGCCUGACAGGUCUGCUAUGAAAACCCGCGGCUCAACCGCGUGGCUUGCAGUCGAUACGGGCAGGCUAGAAUUCGGUAGGGGAGACUGGAAUUCCUGGUGUAGCGGUGAAAUGCGCAGAUAUCAGGAGGAACACCGGUGGCGAAGGCGGGUCUCUGGGCCGAUAUUGACGCUGAGGAGCGAAAGCGUGGGGAGCGAACAGG
rnacentral:rRNA from 1 species